rnacentral:rRNA from 1 species
AGGACGAACGCUGGCGGCGUGCUUAACACAUGCAAGUCGAGCGGAAAGGCCCUUCGGGGUACUCGAGCGGCGAACGGGUGAGUAACACGUGAGCAAUCUGCCCUUAGCUUCGGGAUAGCCCCGGGAAACCGGGAUUAAUACCGAAUAUGACCUCGGCCGACAUCGGCCUUAGUGGAAAGUUUUUCGGCUAGGGAUGAACUCGCGGCCUAUCAGCUUGUUGGUGGGGUAAUGGCCUACCAAGGCGACGACGGGUAGCCGGCCUGAGAGGGCGACCGGCCACACUGGGACUGAGACACGGCCCAGACUCCUACGGGAGGCAGCAGUGGGGAAUAUUGCGCAAUGGGCGAAAGCCUGACGCAGCGACGCCGCGUGGGGGAUGAAGGCCUUCGGGUUGUAACCCCUUUCAGCAGGGACGAAGCGAGAGUGACGGUACCUGCAGAAGAAGCGCCGGCUAACUACGUGCCAGCAGCCGC